GGGUGGAGCUUCAUAUAUAAAGACUGAAGUCAGCAGGAAGGGAACGGCACAACUCCAGAUCAGUUGAAGUGUGAGACUUUAAGGUAUCUUCACCUCUAUUGAAGCCGAUGAGCAGGAACUAUGUCAGCACCUAAGAAAGCACAAUCCAACCAGGGUCUGGAGAGAUCAAUGACUUGUCCAAAUUGUAGACAGAUGUUUUUGACUUUUGUCAACUUUGAACUGAAGAAGGAUGGCAGGUUAGAUUUCCAAAUGGAAGUAUUUGUAGCUAACAAUGUGGAAUCAGCCCUUGUCAGUCAGAGCUUUACCUAUAAACAACAGGUGAGGCAGAGCUUUACCUAUAAACAACAGGUGAGGCAGAGCUUUACCUAUAAACAACAGGACGAUGUGAAACAAACGAGCAGAGUGGAGUGUCCAUAUUGUGUAAAGAUGUUUGAGCUGAUCAUUCACCUUACUAAGACUAUUAAAGAGAGCCAAUUAAAUCUUAAACUGUCCAUCACAACUUGUGCGGUCUGUGUGCCGGGUGAAAAAAAGGAAAAGGAAGAAACACCAAGAGGACAAAAAGGCCCAUCAGAAAAAACAGGCUUAGGCUCACCUGUACUACGCAGAGUGAAGGUUUUCUAUAUGUGCUCUGGUGAGACAUUUCGUGGUGAUGAUCAAGUGAAGGAACAAUUGAUGAUGGACAAACGGCGGACACUUGAUGUCCAGGAGACAAAGCUGAAAGAUUCUGACAUUGUCGUUGUCUUCUGAUCAAUCACAUCCCGCGUUGGACUAGUGAAAUUCUCAAAGCGUAAAAAAGAAUUAAGUAUUGAACUGCCUAAGGUUUAGAGAUCGGGAACAGAAGUACAAAAUGUAUGUGCAGAAAUUCAAUUUCUGCACAUACAAAAGUCUCUAUUCUUGAAAUAAAUAUCUAUACCAACAGGUCAGGCUGGAAAAAGUAUGAUGUAAUCUUUGUAUUAUUACACAACUAGGUUUAAAAUCAAAAUUAUACACUUUCGUUUUACAAAACCUGUCUUAAUUGUUUCUCUGUUUUUUUGUAGGACAAAAAGGCCCAUCAGAAAAAACAGGUACCGGUACAUGCCUUAAAACAGAACUGACCAGUGGACAGUUAUAUCCCUGGUUAUAUCACACUGAGGUCACACAUAGUUUUGGAAUUUAUUUGAGUCCUGAUCUAAUAGACAAAUAAUAAAAGGCGUCUUCAUUAGAGCCUGUAUGUGAGGAUUUAAUCACACCAUCAUUUUUGUCAGAAGCCAUUCUAAUUAAAGUCAGGAAUAGGUCUAUUUAAAGUCACAAAGGUAUAUUACAAAUAUUCUGUAGAAGCAAACAAAUAUUUGUAUAUCUAACAAAUAAAUAUUUGGUAGAAAAUAUGGAAAAUUACAUUUAUAAAGUUAAUAUAAUUGAGUCAUUUUUUCCUAUUUACAUAUUUCCGAUUUUAUUUUAUUCCAUCUGUCAUGGGACUGGUUUUUUUUUCACAAAAGUUUGCAGUGCCUUCCUCACCUAAUAUUGCAGGUGGUAAACAUCUCUAAAAAUACUAAUAAUUUUUUUUUUUUCGCACACAACUGUUCAUCUUGGAUCCAUUUUCAGAUUUGACAAUAAUUCUUAAAAAACAUGGAGAAUAAGAUAUAAUUCUUUAGGGCUUCUAGAAAAACCUGAUUUAUGCCUAGACCCAGAUCACUAGAUAACUUCAAGAUCACUAUUUUGCCGAAAGAGUCUUUAAAUAUGGUGCGGGAACUUCAACCUUUUGACUGUCAAACAACAACUGGUAAAACUGGUGACUGCUUGUUUUUUCAGGCUUAGGCUCACCUGUACUACGCAGAGUGAAGGUUUUCUAUAUGAUGAUCAAGUGAAGGAACAAUUGAUGAUGGACAAACGGCGGACACUUGAUGUCCAGGAGACAAAGCUGAAAGAUUCUGACAUUGUCGUUGUCUUCUGUCCAAUCACAUCCCGCGUUGGACUAGUGAAAUUCUCAAAGCGUAAAAAAGAAUUAAGUAUUGAACUGCCUAAGGUUUAGACAUCAGGAACAGAAGUACAAAAUGUAUGUGCAGAAAUUCAAUUUCUGCACAUACAAAAGUCUCUAUUCUUGAAAUAAAUAUCUAUACCAACAGGUCAGGCUGGAAAAAGUAUGAUGUAAUCUUUGUAUUAUUACACAACUAGGUUUAAAAUCAAAAUUAUACACUUUCGUUUUACAAAACCUGUCUUAAUUGUUUCUCUGUUUUUUUGUAGGACAAAAAGGCCCAUCAGAAAAAACAGGUACCGGUACAUGCCUUAAAACAGAACUGACCAGUGGACAGUUAUAUCCCUGGUUAUAUCACACUGAGGUCACACAUAGUUUUGGAAUUUAUUUGAGUCCUGAUCUAAUAGACAAAUAUUAAAAGGCGUCUUCAUUAGAGCCUGUAUGUGAGGAUUUAAACACGCCAUCAUUUUUGUCAGAAGCCAUUCUAAUUAAAGGUCUAUAUACAGUCACAAAGGUAUAUUACAAAUGUUCUGUAGAAGCAAACAAAUAUUUGCCUCUAACAAAUAAAUAUUUGGUAGAAAAUGUGGAACAUUACAAAUUACAUUUAUCAAGUUAAUAUAAUGGAGUCAUUUUUUUUAAAUUGACAUAUUUCUGAUUUUAUUUUACUCAAUCUGUCAUGGGACAUUUUUUUCCACAAAAGUUUGCAGUGCCUUCCACACCUAAUAUUACAGCUAGUAAACAUCUCUAAAAAUACCAAUGAAUAUUUUUUUAUUUUUUUGCACACAACUGGUUUUCUUAGAUCCAUCUUCAGAUUUGACAAUAAUUCUUAAAAAUCAUGGAGAAUAAGAUAUAAUUCUUUAGUGCUUCUAGAAAAACCUGAUUCAUGCCUAGACCCAGAUCACUAGAUAACUUCAAGAUCACUAUUUUGCCGAAAGAGUCUUUAAAUAUGGUGCGGGAACUUCAACCUUUUGACUGUCAAACAACAACUGGUAUAACUGGUGACUGCUUCUUUCUUCAGGCUUAGGCUUACCUGUACUACACAGAGUGAAGGUUUUCUAUAUGUGCUCUGGUGAGACAUUUCGUGGUGAUGUUCAAGUGAAGGAACAAUUGAUGAUGGACAAACGGCGGACACUUCAUGUCCAGGAGACAAACCUGAAAGAUUCUGACAUUGUCAUUGUCUUCUGUCCAAUCACAUCCCGCGUUGGAUCAGACGUGGAGUCAUCCAUGAGAGAUAAAACAGCGUCAUCAUUGAAGAAACCAAUCAUCUUGGUUCUGAUGCAUCACACCAGAGACUUUGAGUAUUCAACUGCAGGAACAACCUGGUCUGACGUUUAUCCAAAUGUUGUCCUUGAUGUUCAUGUUCUGUUCCAUGAGACUAAACCAGGACUAUUGAAAUGUAGACAAAAUGAGGAGGCUUUUGAGAUGAUUAAAAAAGAGCUAAAUAAACAUUCAAAACCAGUCUUUGGAAUGUUAGCACACCAUCAGACUCGUUGAGAAUGUUACGAAACAUUAAAUAUCCAGUGAGCAGCAGUUAUCUGGGGAGAAAUACUGAAUAAUCAGAAGGAGAAUGAAUAGACUGGUUCAAAAUUAUAGAAAUUAAGCAGUAGCUAAAAACCCACUUAUUAAAACCCAAAUAUGUCUAACAUACCGUUUCUGAACACAAUAUGUUUAAUCAUAAAGCAAAUGGACUAUAUUGACAGAAGAGAAAACUCCUACCAGCCCAGAACAGGAAGCAUCAACAGAGCAUCGUUUAAACACCACAGCCUAACUAAGUAUGAUUCCUGACCAUGUCCAUCCCUUUAUGAUCACCGUUUACCCAUACUCUGAACGCUACUUCCAAAAGUGUAACGACAUUACGUUACAAAUGUAAAAUAAUUGUAAUCUGACAACUGACACUUCAACAUGACAAGUUCACUCAGCUCUAAAGAUCUCAGUCCAGGUGCUUUGGGAUGUAGUGAAAUUAGAGACUCAUGUCAUUGUUAUUGUAAGGCUGAAAUGAUUAAUCAAAUUAAUCAUAAUGGAUCAAAAGCUGUUCAUUACGCUUAAUGAAUUAAUUUAAUAAUUAAUUAAUUGAAGUACGGAGUAUAGAUACCCUUAAAAACGUAAUAUGCUGAAAGAACAACACCCUCUGCUGUAGUUCAGCCAAAACUGUACAAAAAAUAUAAACAUUUACAUUUAAGAUAAAAAAAACAACUUUAUCUGUAAACACAUUCCACCCAGAACUCCUCAAGUUGCAGCUUUAGCUUAAUUGGUUCCAAAUCUGUAAAAAACAACCUAUUAAGCACUUUUUGCUAUCCAGUUAAUAACCAUUUCAAUUGUUAUUUUAUUUCAAACAGGAAUUGAAUUGUUCAUUUGCAUCUUUUGAUAUAUUUCUAAUAUUGCAUAAAAAUACUUAAAUAAAUGAAAAAUCUGCAGAAUGUGCUCUUUUUUUCCCGAAUAGUCGAUUCAUAAUCAGAAUUAUCAAUAGAUUAAUCGACUACUAAAAUAGUCGCCCUACAUAAUUGGUUUGCAGCUAAUAAAUCUGCAUCACCUCUUGCUGCUAUCAUAUCAGUAUGGACCAAAAUCCUUUCAUUGUCUAUACCAGCUUAUUCAUUAUCUGGAUCAUAUGGGCAUCGUUAGAUAAGAGGUUAGAUAAGGGUAUUUCCUGGACAGCUCAGCAGUGCUUCACAGGGCAACGCAGAGACACUAAAGACAAACAUCCAUGCAUGCAGGAACUUAGUCCUGCAGAAAAUAAAAUCACUGAUUAACCUAGCACAGGAAGCCGGAGCAGCCAGAGAGAUCUUACACAUGCAGGGGUGAGAACAUGGAGCUGCAUUGUGAAACCUCCUAAAUUUUGUCUCAUUUGUGCAGUUCUGAAAACAAGGUGUCAAUCUGAUACUAUUACUGUGGACCUAAUAAUGUAACCGGUGGGUUUUUAUGCUGUAUAUUCUACUGAAGGAAGAAAAAAGUUUGAAGUGCAUGAAAAUGUUUUGCUUUGCUUUAUGCUUAUAUUUCAGCUUUGCUGAGACAUAUAAGAACGUUAGGAAUUAAGUAUUUGGUCUUUUGUUCUUAUGUUUUUAUUUGAUAUUGUUUUAAUAUUAUCUCAACAAAACCAAUCUGUGACUUUGUAAACAAGUCACAGAUUGAAAAAAAUGCAUGAUUUCUGAUAUUUUUGUCAGGAUAUUUGAUUAUUAUUAUUUUUAGUAAUUGUUAUCUGUGUUCUUAGCUAUUUUUUGUUCUCAUCCAUGUUGCUGUUGAGAUUAUUUUAGUUAGAUUAUCUUUACCGUUUAUUUCUUGCGUUAUUCUUUGUAACAGAUUUCUGUUUUGCCCAUUGUUUUCCUCCUCCAUACUCCUAUGUACCAUCUCUGUUCUCCCUCCCUCUCACCAUCUCACCUGGUUUUUGUCAAUAAUCAAGAGCUUCUGUUUAUAAGCUCUACUCCUGACAGUAUAUGAGCCGAAUAAUCUGUGAAAAAAACUGAGCUUCCCUGCACUCCAAAAGACCUCUGCCUCCUUGGCGGGUAGAUUAUGACUGACGGUGCGUUUCUGUAGACGGCAAUAGUAGCACUGGGAGAAGGUGGAAAAUCUUGCUCUGGUUUAAUUUUUGUUUGUUUUUUUUCCCCACAGAUUAUCUCUCCCACUGUACUGUCACAACAUAGUGACAGUUUUUAACACAUGUCUAAAUAAGUAAAUAAAUGUAGUGAACUAUCAGAACUUAAACAGUGUUUAGACAACUCUUGUUGAUGGACAGUGCUAAGAUGUUCAAUCAACCUAAUGAACUUUAGUUUCUGAGUUAGAACAAAAACAAUUUUGUUGUUUCCCUUGCAUUUCCAAGGCAGCAGGUGAAUUUUUGGUUUCUUUAACGCCUUCAAAUGUUUAACAGUUGCCGUGUGCUUGUUCUGAUUUUGCUGUAAAACGUUGGCACCUGUCAGUGUUCAAUGUUUCUUCAUCAUUAAAUGUUGUAUUUUCUGUUAUUAGCCUACACUAAACAGAACCUGUCACACAAAGGCAUCUCUUCUUUAUUUAUUCUGUAAACUGUUUUCUACUUAUUGAUUAUUACAUUUUGUAAUUUAACAAAGAAGCUGCAGUAAAUCAGCUUUGAAUCAGCUACAGUGAACUCACCCCCAGCGUAGUCCCCUUCAUGGUUCAUCCAGAGCUGCACAGAGGCAUGAAUUAUUUUGCAAAGACAAUUGAAAGUCAUUAGAAACAUUACUCAUUUCCAGAAGUAUUUUCUUCUGUAAAAACAAACAUAAAAUCUGUUAAAAAUUUAUUAAAACUGCUCCUGAAACACAGUCAGUAUUUAAGAUGCCAGAAACAAGUUAAAAUAUGACAGCAUUAAGUUUAUUAGCUGUUUAGUUUCAGUUUAUCCAAACUAACGAGAAAACAUUUGAAAAGUCCUUUUUUUAUCCUGGACAAUAGCUGGGGGUGAAACCGGGGGGAGGUUUCUUCAUGUUCCUCAACAAAUAAAAUGAGCUAAACAGAGAAUAAUGGGUGGCAAAACAAUCUGUUAUUCAAAUUAUUCUCCACUCAGAGAUAUUUAGAACACAUAACAUACUCUGAGUUCAGAGUUCAAAGUGGUAUCAUAUUUUCACCAUAUAGAGGAUAAAGUCCUCAACACAGAAGUCCUUGGUUCCAAUUACUGUAAGUCUUCUCCAUUGUUCACUUUACUUUUUCCUUUCAAGCUAUUAAUGAAUAAAUGUCAUAAAUGUCAUAAAAUCCUUAAAAAAAUCUUAACAGAUUAAAGAAGACCAUCAUUUUACUAAAUAAAAGCAGUCAGUUAAGCAGCACAUUCAUGUUUUCCUUUCUUGACACAAAAUAUUCCUGAAAUGUAUAACUAAAUAUUUUUGAAAAUAAAAAAAAUUGACACAACCA